GACGAACGCUGGCGGCGUGCUUAACACAUGCAAGUCGAACGGAAAGGCCCUGCUUUUGUGGGGUGCUCGAGUGGCGAACGGGUGAGUAACACGUGAGUAACCUGCCCUUGACUUUGGGAUAACUUCAGGAAACUGGGGCUAAUACCGGAUAGGAGCUCCUGCUGCAUGGUGGGGGUUGGAAAGUUUCGGCGGUUGGGGAUGGACGCGCGGCUUAUCAGCUUGUUGGUGGGGUAGUGGCUUACCAAGGCUUUGACGGGUAGCCGGCCUGGGAGGGUGACCGGCGACAUUGGGACUGAGAUACGGCCCAGAGUCCUACGGGAGGCAGUAGUGGGGAAUAUUGCACAAUGGGCGGAAGCCUGAUGCAGCAACGCCGCGUGCGGGAUGACGGCCUUCGGGUUGUAAACCGCUUUCGCCUGUGACGAAGCGUGAGUGACGGUAAUGGGUAAAGAAGCACCGGCUAACUACGUG
rnacentral:rRNA from 1 species